rnacentral:rRNA from 1 species
UACGAGGGGAGCGAGCGUUGUUCGGAAUUAUUGGGCGUAAAGGGUGCGUAGGCGGUUCCGCAAGUCCUGUGUGAAAUCUUCGGGCUCAACUCGAAGUCUGCACGGGAAACUGCGGGGCUUGAGGAUGGGAGAGGUAAGCGGAAUUCCUGGUGUAGCGGUGAAAUGCGUAGAUAUCAGGAGGAACACCUGUGGUGUAGACAGCUUACUGGACCAUUUCUGACGCUGAGACACGAAAGCGUGGGUAGCAAACAGG